UACUCUAUAAAAAGGACACAUUUGCUUGGGACAAAUACUAUUGCUCUUUUUGUUACUGUCAAAUCAUCUAAAUGUGUGUUUUGGGUUGAUAUGUAGUUCCGCCAGCAGGGGGUGCUUGGUGCCUAACGCAUUAGCAGCUGACGGCCAGAAGAAGAAGGCUAGUCAGUUGUAAUGGCAGACUUUACACCGAGUACGCUCCGAAAAUAAACCUUUCUCUGUAUUUCCACAGCUUCUUGCAAAACCUACGAGACGGUCCGCCGCAACUUCCGCUACAGUCAACCUCACGUUCCGGAAAAGGCGACAGCCAUUAAAAAUCCUGCCCGGUGUCGUGCAAGAAGGAAGCGGCAGAGGAGGUUGCCUUCUGGGACGGUGUCACCACUGACCUCAUGUUGGAUG